UGAAGAUUAGGUAGUACUAAUUGGAGGACCGAACCCAAUACUGUUGCAAAAGUAUGGGAUGAGCUGUGGAUCGGAGUGAAAGGCUAAUCAAGCACGGAGAUAGCUGGUUCUCCCCGAAAACUAUUUAGGUAGUGCCUCGUGUAUAACUCAUUGGGGUAAAGCACUGUUUCGACAAUGGGGGUUUUACGACCUUACUGACUCGAUGCAAACUCAGAAUACGAUGAAGUUCGAUCACGGGAGACACACUGCGGGUGCUAAGGUCCGCAGUGGAAAGGGAAACAGCCCAGACCGCCAACUAAGGUCCCAAAGUCAUAGCUAAGUGGGAAACGAAGUGGGAAGGCCCAGACAGCCAGGAGGUUGGCUUAGAAGCAGCCACCCUUUAAAGAAAGCGUAAUAGCUCACUGGUCGAGUCGGCCUGCACGUAAGAUUUAACGGGGCUAAGCUAUGCACUGAAGUUGCGGAAUAUAUUUAGUAUAUUGGUAGGGGAGCGUUCUGUAAGCCGAUGAAGGUGAAUUGAGAAGUUUGCUGGAGGUAUCAGAAGUGCGAAUGCUGACAUGAGUAACGUAAAAUAAGUGAGAUUCUUAUUGGCCGAAAACCCAAGGGUUCCUACGCAAUGUUAAUCAACGUAGGGUAAGCCGGCCCCUAAGGCGUAGCUGAAGAGUGAAGUCGAUGGGAAACAGGUUAAUAUUCCUGUGCUGCUUAUAUGAACGAAGGAGGGACGGAGAAGGUUAGGUAGGCCUGGCGAAUGGUUGUCCAGGUGAAAGUAUGUAGGUAGGAAUGCUAGGCAAAUCCGGUGUUCUGUUGAUCUGAGAUACGAGACGAAGUUAAACUUGUUUGACGAAGCUAUUGAUACCAUGCUUCCAGGAAAAGCUUCUAAGUAUAUUGUAUAAGUGACCGUACUGUAAACCGACACUGGUGGGUAGGUAGAGAAUACUAAGGCUAUGAGAUAACUCUGGUGAAGGAACUAGGCAAAAUGACACCGUAACUUUGGAAGAAGGUGUGCCCUUGAUGGUGAUGAGACUUGCUCUUUGAGCUGUUGGGGGUUGCAGAUACCAGGUGGCUGCGACUGUUUAUCAAAAACACAGCACUCUGCGAAAUCGUAAGAUGAAGUAUAGGGUGUGACGCCUGCCCGGUGCUGGAAGGUUAAUUGAAGGGGUUAGCGCAAGCGAAGCUCUGGAUCGAAGCCCCAGUAAACGGCGGCCGUAACUAUAACGGUCCUAAGGUAGCGAAAUUCCUUGUCGGGUAAGUUCCGACCUGCACGAAUGGCGUAACGAUGGCCACACUGUCUCCACCAGAGACUCAGUGAAAUUGAAAUCGCUGUGAAGAUGCAGUGUACCCGCGGUUAGACGGAAAGACCCCGUGAACCUUUACUAUAGCUUUGCACUGGACUUUGAAUAUUUAUGUGUAGGAUAGGUGGGAGACCAUGAAGCAGCUACGCCAGUAGUUGUGGAGUCGUCCUUGAAAUACCACCCUUGAAUAUUUGAAGUUCUAACUCAGGAGAGAUUCGAGGACAGUGUAUGGUGGGUAGUUUGACUGGGGCGGUCUCCUCCUAAAGAGUAACGGAGGAGUACGAAGGUGCACUCGGUACGGUCGGAAAUCGUGCCAAGAGUAUAAAGGCAAAAGUGCGCUUGACUGCGAGAGUGACGGCUCGAGCAGGUACGAAAG
rnacentral:rRNA from 1 species